rnacentral:lncRNA from 1 species
GCCGCCACCUCGGCCUCUGCGUCCCACGGGCCGUCGCGCAGCUCCACCUCCUGCAGCAGGAAGCGCUCUGGACCCGCGCGCCGCAGCACGGCCCGCAGCUUCGCCUCCGACAGCUCCACGUGGCCGCGCAGGUCCUGCAGGAACAUGCGGCCGCCGUGAGCACACAGCACCUUGAACAAUAUGUAGAACUCUCAGCUCCUCCAGUGUUAUGUCUGCCUGGAUGCUGCCAUGUUUCCUGCCAUGAUGAUAAUGGACCUAAUCUCAGAACUAGUAAGCCAUCCCCCAAUUAAAUGUUGUCCCUUAUAAGAGUUACCUUGGUCACGGUGUCUCCUCACAGCAAUGGAAACCCUAAAAUAGAAGUUGGUACCAGGAGUGAGGUAUUGCUUUGAUAGGCAUGAUCAUGUUUUUUCUUUGGAGAAAUGUGGACUUUGGGACUUUGGAUUUGGGAAGCAAUGGUAUGCUUUAAGUGGGGCUUAAAGGGCCAUCCUAGUAGGACCAUAAAAGACAUUGGUGCUGAGGAUGAUCUGAACUGUGCAGACCUGGCCCAAGAGGUUUCAGUGGAGAAGAAUUUCAGUAUGUGGCAUAGAAACUAUUCUUGAGAUAUUUUGGUGAAGAAUGUAACUGCUUUUUGCCCUUGUCUGAAGAGUCUACCCGAGGCUAAGGUAAAGAGAGUUCAAUUAAUUUCAUUGACAAAGGAAAGUCUCAGAAAAGCCCAGCAGAGACUUUGUUCUCUGGAGUAGUCUCAUGAAGAGUGUUUUGAUGAAAAGGAGCAAUCUGAGAAAGUAAAAAUACAAAAUGUAUGGCUCAAGUAAUAAAAGGGCAUCACAGAGUGGAAUGGGGCUCAAUUCUGUGUUCUAGGAGACAACAGAUUAAGGGAGUGGAGACUUUGGGGCAAGAUCCCACCCAGCUAAGUUUACCAUUUAUGUGUUUGCCAUUGAACAUGGUGGAAUGGGGCUCAAUUCUGUGUUCUAGGAGACAACAGAUUAAGGGAGUGGAGACUUUGGGGCAAGAUCCCACCCAGCUAAGUUUACCGUUUAUGUGUUUGCCAUUGAACAUGGAAUAGUUGUACCAUGUAAGGCUUUAUUAUUAAUUGGUUAUUGUUUUCAUUCAGACUUUUUUUUUUUCACAGCACUCAUUCAGACUUUUUAUCUGGAAUGAAUUACAAUCCAGAAAUGGAGGACUCAGGCUUUUGAUUCAGCUCUUGAGAAAUAGUGGCCAUGAAAAGCUUAGGUCCAGCCAUAGUAGUACAGGCCUUUAAUCCCAAGAGACAGAGGCAAGCAGAUCUCUCAGUUCAAGGCCGACCUGGUAUAGAGCAAGUUAGGUGAUACACACCUCUAAUCCCAGCAUUCAGAAGUCAGCCAUGCAGAUCUCUGAGUGAGGUUCAAGGUCAACCUACAAAGCAAGUUUUAGGACAGCCAAGCUUAGGCAAUGAAGGAGUUGAAAAACAGAAAGCUGAUGAUAAUGUAAUAGAACAAGGGGGCCAAGUUCCAGGUUUAGCAAGCAGCACUUGGAAGCUUCAGUCAUGUGGUUCUGGCUUUAGAGUCAAAAGUAAAAGGGACAAUUGAUGCUGGUUAGCUGGAGCUAUGAAAUUAGCAGUGAUUACAAAAAGAUCAGCAUCAAUGAGGUGAAACCUUCUGGCAAGAAUUUUCUAAGAGCACAAAGAAGUUAUGUUCCAGAGAUAGCCAAGGCUGUACCUACCUCAUGCUUGAUCUACCUGGACUUUGUAAUGUGUAAGAAUCACUCAAGUGGUACUGGUUUUGAAGGCAUGAAGAGCAUCUGAGGCUUGGCACUGGUGAGGCCACAGAAGGUGAUGGUACAGCCUCAAUUGCAGUUGACAGCCCAGAACUAAAGGGAUCAUGCAAAGAACUUGAGGCUUGAAGGGAGCCUAUGAGAGGCUAUUGGUGAAGCCUAGUUCCACUGGAAGACCCCAGCAUAUUGGAGAUGCCAGUACCGUGGGAUGACCACCAAGAACAGCAGCAGCAGUGGAGUAGAGUCAACUAGAGUGCUACAGAGGGCAGAGCUGGAGAAGUGACUCAAGCCUUUGGAGGAGCCCAGAAGAUUAUGUAUGGACCCCAUACACUGGAACAAAAAGAUGUAAAGUUGAAGUUGCCUUGGAUACCUCAAGAUGUUAGAGAUGUCAGAGCCAUGGGAUACCUACCAAGAACAACUGAUAACAGAGAAUGGAACCAGCUCAAGAGAACAAGUUAGUUGCUGCUCAAUGCCAGAUCUGCCAACAGCAGUCAACAAGGAUGAAAGGAGUUAGAGAUCUGAAGAGUGCUUUAACAUCAGACAUGGAGACAGAGUUUGGAGUUUACCCGGAUGGUUUUCUGUAUUACUUUGGCCCAGUAUUUCCUCACCAUGACAUUAUGGAAUGAUAAUGUAUAUUCUACAAGAUGUUGCAGAUAUGUGAUCUGCUUUUUUAUCUUGAUUUCUUAAGGGAUUAUAGUUAAGAGAGUGCAUGAACCUAAGAAGAGACUUUGAACUUUUAACAUUGUUGAGACUGGUAUAGACUAUGGGGCUUUUGAAGCUGGACUAAAUGUAUUUUGCACUAUGCUACAGCUAGGUAUGGCUCGCAUAGACUUACAUGUUUGAAUACGCCUAUGGGGGCUAGGGAGUGUAAUGUGGUGGUUUGAAUAUGCUUGGCCCAUGGAGUGGCACUAUUAGGAGGUGUGGUCUUGUUGGAGUAGUUGUAGCCUUGUUAGAGAAAGUCUGUCAGUGUGGGAGUGGGCUUUGAGACCCUACUCCUAAGUACCUGGAAGCCAGUCUUCUGUUUGCCUUUGGAACAAGAUGUAGAAAUCCCCAGCACAAUGACUGCUUGGACACUGCCAUGCUUCCUGCCAUGAUGAUAAUGGACUGAACCUCAGAACCAGUAAGCCAGCCCUAAUUAAAUGUUGUCCUUUAUAAGAGUUGCCUGGUGGUGGUGGUUGUGGUUGUGGUGGGAGCUGGAGAGAUGGCUUAACAGUUAAGAGCAUGGACUACUCUUCCAGAGUCCUGAGUUCAAUUCCCAGAAACCACAUGGUGGUUCAUAACCAUCUGUAAUGGAAUCUGAUGCCCUCUGCUGGUGUGUCUGAAGAUAACAACAGUGUAUUCACAUAUGUAAAAUAAAUAAAUAAAUAAAUAAAUAAAUAAAUAAAUAAAUAAAUC